rnacentral:tRNA from 1 species
CCUUCGAUAGCUCAGUUGGUAGAGCGGAGAACUGUGGAUCCUUAGGUCGCAGGUUCGAAUCCGCCUCGAAGGA